UGUGCUAAUACCGCAUAAUCUCUCAGGAGAAAAGCAGGGGAUCGCAAGACCUUGCGCUUUAGGAGCGGCCGAUGCCUGAUUAGCUUGUUGGUAAGGUAAAAGCUUACCAAGGCUUCGAUCAGUAGCUGGUCUGAGAGGACGACCAGCCACACUGGGACUGAGACACGGCCCAGACUCCUACGGGAGGCAGCAGUGGGGAAUUUUGGACAAUGGGGGAAACCCUGACCCAGCCAUGCCGCGUGAGUGAAGAAGGCCUUCGGGUUGUAAAGCUCUUUCAGUCGGAACGAAACGGU
rnacentral:rRNA from 1 species